rnacentral:lncRNA from 1 species
CAGAGAGCCAGAAUGAAACAACCACAUAAUAAGGCAGAUAUUGGAAAUUCUUAAAAUGAUGAGCGUCUUCCCAAACUGGAAAUAAUUGAUGAGGAAUAUUUUAAACCCUGGAAGCAAAGAGAUUUCAAAAGGAGAUGCAAUUUUAAAGACACUCAUCUAUGGAGUGCCCCAAAUGCACUAGGACUGCACAGGCUGUGUGGGGAACUCAAGGUUGAAAAAGAUAUAUCCUUGGCCCUCAGGAAGACUACAGCCAGUGUAAAGGGGACCAUAACGAUGUCUACAUCCCAGGGCUGUCGCGAGUGAGAUCAUCCAACCAAGCACUUUGUACAACGUCUGGCAUAUUAUACCACAUAUAAUACCUUAAUAAAUGUUGUUAUAGAAAAAAAC